rnacentral:rRNA from 1 species
UGGGGAAUAUUGCACAAUGGGCGCCAGCCUGAUGCAGCCAUGCCGCGUGUAUGAAGAAGGCCUUCUGGUUGUAAAGUACUUUCAGCGGGGAGGAAGGGAGUAAAGUUAAUACCUUUGCCCAUUGACGUUACCCGCAGAAGAAGCACCGGCUAACUCCGUGCCAGCAGCCUCGGUAAUACGGAGGGUGCAAGCGUUAAUCAGAAUUACUGGGCGUAAAGCGCACGCAGGCGGUUUGUUAAGUCAGAUGUGAAAUCCCCGGGCUCAACCUGGGAACUGCAUCUGAUAAUGGCAAACUUGAGUCUCGUAGAGGGGGGUAGAAUUCCAGGUGUAGCGGUGAAAUGCGUCGAGAUAUGGAGGAAUACCGGUGGCGAAGGCGGCCCCCUGGACGAAGACUGUCGCUCAGGUGCGAAAGCGUGUGGAGCAAACAGG